ACAAUAUGAAAAAAUUUCCCACUACUAGCACUUCUAAGCAAAAGGCAAAAUGUAAGGCUUGCAAAUUGCUUUUAUCUGCUGAUUACAAAGACAGGACAAGUCAAUUGUGUAGGCAUUUAAAAAUAUGUGGCAAACAUCAAAAUGAAGACACACUAUUAAGUAGGAUAUUAUGAAUUAUUACCAAUUAGAGAAGAAGAAAUUGUAUGAUUUAUUGGCUUCAAUCACUGGGAGAAUUUGUUUGAUUAUAUAUAUGUAGAAGUCUAGGGCAGCAUAUGAGUAUUUGACAGUUACAACACAUUUUAUUGAUGAUUCUUGGAAAUUGCAAAAGAAAAUUAUAUGUUUUGAGUGUAUUCCACCUCCAAAAGCCAAGAAAAUAAACAAGAUGUUUACAAUAGACCGAAAAAGAAAAACAAUAACCCCAAGAACCACAAGGACCUAAGUAGUAAGGCAAAUCCCACAAAGCCUAGUCGGCUCCCCAAAAAAGAACUCGACCACCCCCAAAAAGGCUAAACAAUACCUAACUAGGGAAAAGGCAAACCAUGAAAUAAAAAGAAGGGAACACCACCUCUCUAGUGGCUUGCAAUACCCUUGCAUCUGCCUCUCCUACUACAACUGUCAAACGUAGAAGUUUGCUAGUAGCUUGGCCUUCUUGCUCCCAAGAGGAAAAACCAUUGGAUCAAAGCCACCUCGUCAGAGAGCUUAGAUAUAAACCAGUCCUUGACUUGAGAAUCUUACUUAGUUGGAUAGGACACCUCGGGGAACUUUUCGAGACAACUUUUUAUCCACCUGAUCCACUAUUCAACAUGUGUAGAGCUAGGUUCGCCCUCAUGCAUAUUAGAAGGAAAUUCAUACAACCAAUUAACAGGAAAGGAAAGCUCAACUUGGGCCGAGAAGUCUUUCGGGCAUUGGUGCUUCUCAAAAAGAUUACCUCUCCCACAGAAAGUGGGAUCGAUAAUCGACUCGAACUAUUAUCAAAUGAACUUCAAGGGACCAAACCUUGGGAGUUCAUAGAGCACAUGGGCUUCAAUCCACUCCGUGGCAGGCCUAAACAAAGAUCUUGGCCUUUAGGUAGAAAAGAGUGAGUGAACGGGUUGACCCAUAAGGGUUGGGUCGGGCCCAUGACAAGAAACCAACCACAUUGGAACCGAUUGGCAUUGAGCGUCUAUGUGUUCCAGUGGAAAAUUGUAAUGCAAAUGAUGUUGUGAAAAUAUAUUGAAGUGCCAUUUAAUGAAUAAAGAUGGUCUAUUAUGUGAUGGUGUAUUAUGUGAUGGUGAUUAUUUUCAUGUCUGUUGCUAUGCACAUAUAUUGAAUUUCAUUGUUCAAAUUAGGGUGAAUGAGUUAAAGGAUCUUGUUCUCAGGAUAAGGGCUAGCAUCAUGUAUAUAAAGGUUUUAGGCCCUAGGAAGAAAAAUUUAAUGAUACACGAUAUUGUUUGGAUUUAAAGAGGCAUAUAUACAUUGACUGUCUCGAUGAAAUUCAAUAUACAAGAUGAUCCAAUCUGCAUUGUAUUUUAGGCAAGCAUUUUCUUAUAUAGCAUCUCGUGAUCGAAACUUUUAUUUUGCUCCAUCUCAGGAAGAAUGGUUAAGUGCAAAAGAUUUAUGUGAUUUCUUGAAGGUGUUCAAUGAUUCAACUAAAUGUUUUUUGUCUCAAAUUAUUCAACUACCAAUUUAUAUUUUUAAACAACUUUUGAUACAUUAAGAAAUGCUUCCACCUCAAAUUCAUGUUGGAUGAUAUGAUUAAACCAAUGUUGGAGAUAUUUCAAAAGUAUUGGGAUAGUUAUAGUGUAAUUUUGUCCAUUACUAUUAUAUUAGAUUCCUGAUAAAAAUUAAAAUUAGUUGAGUUUUGUUUUGACAAAAUUUAUGGAGAAGCUCUCACACAUUCAGCUCUUAAUGUAAAUGAUAUCAUUAAUACCCAAAGUGAUGAGCAUAGUUUGAAAAAGAAGGGGAUUAAACAACAAGAUGAAGACUUGAAAUAUGAGAGUUGUAGGUUUAAAGUGUAAUCAAGGAAAUCUCUUUUAGAUAUUUAUUUGGAGGAGCUAGAGUUAUGGAAAAUGAAGACAAAUCACAUGUGUUGGAAUGGUGAUAGAUGGGUGAAUUGAGAUAUCGUGAGCUUGUAAUGUUGGCACGUGAUGUUUUAUCUAUUCCAAUCACAAUAGUGAUUUCAGAGUCUGCGUUCAGUGUUGGGGGAAGAAUAGUAGAAUUAUAUUAAACUUCACUUAAGCCAAGAAUUGUACAAGAAUUGAUUUGUUUGCAAGAUUGGUUGCAAGCACAAGAACAACCUAAUGAUAUUCUUCAAGAAAGUAUUGACAAGUCUUCUAGAAAUGAUGAUGAUGGUAGUUCUAAGGAGUAAAGAAGCGUGAUAGCAAAUCUCAAGGGCAAAGAUGCAAAAGGAGGAAGAGAACGCAAAUAACAUGUUUAGAGAUUAUUAUUUUGUGGAUUU